rfam:Canis lupus familiaris chromosome 31, whole genome shotgun sequence.
ACUUCAGGGUGAUCUGGCUAUGACAUUUGUCACCCCAUUGAUCAGGGUUGAUUGGGCUGAUCUGGUUGCCUAAGCAGGUGUCCCUUCCUUCCUCACCACUUCAGGUACAUCCCUCCUGAAGCUGAACAUUCUGACUCUCCCCCAUAAAGACUGUUCUUGGAUCAAGGGUGUAUGAGUAGUUGCAUCUGCUAGAACCUCCAAACAAACUCUCAAGGUCUGUUUGUAAGAGAACAUCGGGCAAUCAAGCUUCCAAGACUCUGAACACAACCAAAUGAGGCAUUGCAUACGGUAAUCUGCCUUUCUUU